GUGUAGGAUAGGUGGGAGGCUUUGAAGUGUGGACGCCAGUCUGCAUGGAGCCGACCUUGAAAUACCACCCUUUAAUGUUUGAUGUUCUAACGUGGACCCGUGAUCCGGGUUGCGGACAGUGUCUGGUGGGUAGUUUGACUGGGGCGGUCUCCUCCUAAAGAGUAACGGAGGAGCACGAAGGUUGGCUAAUCCUGGUCGGACAUCAGGAGGUUAGUGCAAUGGCAUAAGCCAGCUUGACUGCGAGCGUGACGGCGCGAGCAGGUGCGAAAGCAGGUCAUAGUGAUCCGGUGGUUCUGAAUGGAAGGGCCAUCGCUCAACGGAUAAAAGGUACUCCGGGGAUAACAGGCUGAUACCGCCCAAGAGUUCAUAUCGACGGCGGUGUUUGGCACCUCGAUGUCGGCUCAUCACAUCCUGGGGCUGAAGUAGGUCCCAAGGGUAUGGCUGUUCGCCAUUUAAAGUGGUACGCGAGCUGGGUUUAGAACGUCGUGAGACAGUUCGGUCCCUAUCUGCCGUGGGCGCUGGAGAACUGAGGGGGGCUGCUCCUAGUACGAGAGGACCGGAGUGGACGCAUCACUGGUGUUCGGGUUGUCAUGCCAAUGGCACUGCCCGGUAGCUAAAUGCGGAAGAGAUAAGUGCUGAAAGCAUCUAAGCACGAAACUUGCCCCGA
rnacentral:rRNA from 2 species